rnacentral:rRNA from 1 species
UACAGAGGGUGCGAGCGUUGUUCGGAAUUAUUGGGCGUAAAGGGCGCGUAGGCGGCCUGGCAAGUGGAAGGUGAAAUCCCUCGGCUUAACCGAGGAACUGCCCUCCAAACUGCUUGGCUUGAGUCCGGGAGAGGUGAGUGGAAUUCCCAGUGUAGCGGUGAAAUGCGUAGAUAUCGGGAGGAACACCUGUGGCGAAGGCGGCCCCCUGGUUGGAUACUGACGCUGAUACGCGAAAGCGUGGGGAGCAAACAGG